AAACGACGUCUAAUACCGGAUACGAGCUUCCACCGCAUGGUGAGUUGCUGGAAAGAAUUUUGGUCAAGGAUGGACUCGCGGCCUAUCAGCUUGUUGGUGAGGUAACGGCUCACCAAGGCGACGACGGGUAGCCGGCCUGAGAGGGUGACCGGCCACACUGGGACUGAGACACGGCCCAGACUCCUACGGGAGGCAGCAGUGGGGAAUAUUGCACAAUGGGCGAAAGCCUGAUGCAGCAACGCCGCGUGAGGGACGACGGCCUUCGGGUUGUAAACCUCUUUUAGCAGGGAAGAAGCGAAAGUGACGGUACCUGCAGAAAAAGCACCGGCUAACUACGUGCCAGCAGCCGCGGUAAUACGUAGGGUGCAAGCGUUGUCCGGAAUUAUUGGGCGUAAAGAGCUCGUAGGCGGUUUGUCGCGUCUGCUGUGAAAUCCCGAGGCUCAACCUCGGGUCUGCAGUGGGUACGGGCAGACUAGAGUGCGGUAGGGGAGAUUGGAAUUCCUGGUGUAGCGGUGGAAUGCGCAGAUAUCAGGAGGAACACCGAUGGCGAAGGCAGAUCUCUGGGCCGCUACUGACGCUGAGGAGCGAAAGGGUGGGGAGCAAACAGGCUUAGAUACCCUGGUAGUCCACCCCGUAAACGUUGGGCGCUAGAUGUGGGGACCAUUCCACGGUUUCCGUGUCGUAGCUAACGCAUUAAGCGCCCCGCCU
rnacentral:rRNA from 1 species